AACGAACGCUGGCGGCGCGUCUUAAACAUGCAAGUCGAACGAUCUGUAGCAAUACAGGGAGUGGCGGACGGGUGAGGAACACGUAGGAAUCUACCUUGAAGAGCGGGACAACUUUGGGAAACCGGGGCUAAUACCGCAUAGUACAGAGAUGUUAAAGGGCUAGCAAUAGUCGCUUCGAGAUGAGCCUGCGGUCUAUCAGCUUGUUGGUGAGGUAAUGGCUCACCAAGGCUACGACGGAUAGCCGGUCUGAGAGGAUGAUCGGCCACACUGGCACUGAGACACGGGCCAGACUCCUACGGGAGGCAGCAGUUAAGAAUCUUGCGCAAUGGGGGGAAACCCUGACGCAGCGACGCCGCGUGAAGGAUGAAGGCUUUCGGUU
rnacentral:rRNA from 1 species